rnacentral:lncRNA from 1 species
CUGGCUGAAGACCAUCUGUGGAGGCCCCAUUACUGUCUGAAUGAGGGAACUGUAAGCAGAGCAAGAGCUCACUGACAACGCACUAGGACUUGUAGCAGUCACGGUGACUCUGUUCAUGGACUGAUUUCCAAAUUAAUUUAAAACAAGCUGCAUAAAAAUUAUGACAUAAUUUUCUGGACUGCAGAAUCAAUGAGUUGCUCUCCUGAGAUGCCUCCAGGAGCAACGGGCAGCAAGCCAGGCUGCAGACAGUGACUAAACCCCAACAACACG